UUUCACUGAAACAAGGGAAAACAUUAGCAGCAGUAAGGAGUUUUAUGUAAUAUACGAAAGUAAGACAUAGUUAGGACAUUUUUAUCUGUCAAAUUAAGUGCCAGCAGACGCGGUGAAACUUAAGGAUUUGUUUUUUAGAAAAAGCAGAAAGCGUGUAAAGGUAAAAAAAUAUUUAAAAUAAAUAGAAUUUUUUUAGUAAUAGUGAAAUAUUAUUAUAAGGAAAAGAAUUCUUUAUGUGAAAAUAAUUUAUUUUUUUUUUCUUAAGCACGAGGGUUUUGGGAGUAAACAGGAUUAGAGACCCUGGUAAUCAAUACAGUAAAAAAAAAUCGCUUGAGUAGUACGGUCGCAAGAUUAAAAUUCAAAAAAUUUGGCUGUUCAUUGUUAUUUAGAGGAGCGUGUCGUUUAAUUCGAUAAUCCGCGAAUUACCUUACCAAGACUUGGUUUUCCGGUGUUGCAUGGCCGUCGUCAAUUUGUGUUUGAUACAAUAAAUUAAACCCUAGAAAGGUUGAAGUCAGGUAUUAUUGCCCUUAUGUUUUGGGAUUAGAUGCGCUACAUUUUUUUAAUAAAAAAAAAAGAGUUCGGAUUGUUUUUUAAAUAGAGCAAUUAAGUUGAAUUUAAUAGUAAUUGAAAAGUAGAGCGUUUCAAUGAAUUUAAAACAAUGUUAGUACAAAUUGCCCGUCGCCUUUGCUGAGGUAAACAAAGCAGAGUAAGUCGUAACA
rnacentral:rRNA from 2 species